AGUGAACGCUGGCGGCAGGCCUAACACAUGCAAGUCGAACGGCAGCACGGCAGUAGCAAUACUGUGGGUGGCGAGUGGCGGACGGGUGAGGAAUACAUCGGGAUCUACCCUGUUGUGGGGGAUAACGUAGGGAAACUUACGCUAAUACCGCAUAAGAACUGAGGUUGAAAGCGGCGGACCGCAAGGCGUCGCGCGAUUGGAUGAACCGAUGUCCGAUUAGCUAGUUGGCGGGGUAAAGGCCCACCAAGGCGACGAUCGGUAGCUGGUCUGAGAGGACGACCAGCCACACUGGAACUGAGACACGGUCCAGACUCCUACGGGAGGCAGCAUGGGAAUAUUGGACAAUGGGCGCAAGCCUGAUCCAGCCAUGCCGCGUGGGUGAAGAAGGCCUCGG
rnacentral:rRNA from 1 species